rnacentral:rRNA from 1 species
CUGCUGCCUUCCGUAGGAGUUUGGGCCGUGUCUCAGUCCCAAUGUGGCCGGCCACCCUCUCAGGUCGGCUACUGAUCGUCGCCUUGGUGGGCCGUUACCUCACCAACCAGCUAAUCAGACGCGGAUCCAUCCCAUACCACCGGAGUUUUUCACACCAGACCAUGCGGUCCUGUGCGCUUAUGCGGUAUCAGCAGUCAUUUCUAACUGUUAUCCCCCUGUAUGAGGCAGGUUAUCCACGCGUUACU